GACGAACGCUGGCGGCGUGCUUAACACAUGCAAGUCGAACGGAAAGGCCCUGCUUUUGUGGGGUGCUCGAGUGGCGAACGGGUGAGUAACACGUGAGUAACCUGCCCUUGACUUUGGGAUAACUUCAGGAAACUGGGGCUAAUACCGGAUAGGAGCUCCUGCUGCAUGGUGGGGGUUGGAAAGUUUCGGCGGUUGGGGAUGGACUCGCGGCUUAUCAGCUUGUUGGUGGGGUAGUGGCUUACCAAGGCUUUGACGGGUAGCCGGCCUGAGAGGGUGACCGGCCACAUUGGGACUGAGAUACGGCCCAGACUCCUACGGGAGGCAGCAGUGGGGAAUAUUGCACAAUGGGCGGAAGCCUGAUGCAGCAACGCCGCGUGCGGGAUGACGGCCUUCGGGUUGUAAACCGCUUUCGCCUGUGACGAAGCGUGAGUGACGGUAAUGGGUAAAGAAGCACCGGCUAACUACGUGCCAGCAGCCGCGGUGAUACGUAGGGUGCGAGCGUUGUCCGGAUUUAUUGGGCGUAAAGGGCUCGUAGGUGGUUGAUCGCGUCGGAAGUGUAAUCUUGGGGCUUAACCCUGAGCGUGCUUUCGAUACGGGUUGACUUGAGGAAGGUAGGGGAGAAUGGAAUUCCUGGUGGAGCGGUGGAAUGCGCAGAUAUCAGGAGGAACACCAGUGGCGAAGGCGGUUCUCUGGGCCUUUCCUGACGCUGAGGAGCGAAAGCGUGGGGAGCGAACAGGCUUAGAUACCCUGGUAGUCCACGCUGUAAACGGUGGGUACUAGGUGUGGGGUCCAUUCCACGGGUUCCGUGCCGUAGCUAACGCUUUAAGUACCCCGCCUGGGGAGUACGGCCGCAAGGCUAAAACUCAAAGGAAUUGACGGGGCCCCGCACAAGCGGCGGAGCAUGCGGAUUAAUUCGAUGCAACGCGUAGAACCUUACCUGGGUUUGACAUGGAUCGGGAGCGCUCAGAGAUGGGUGUGCCUCUUUUGGGGUCGGUUCACAGGUGGUGCAUGGCUGUCGUCAGCUCGUGUCGUGAGAUGUUGGGUUAAGUCCCGCAACGAGCGCAACCCUUGUUCACUGUCGCCAGCACGUUAUGGUGGGGACUCAGUGGAGACCGCCGGGGUCAACUCGGAGGAAGGUGGGGAUGACGUCAAGUCAUCAUGCCCCUUAUGUCCAGGGCUUCACGCAUGCUACAAUGGCUGGUACAGAGAGUGGCGAGCCUGUGAGGGUGAGCGAAUCUCGGAAAGCCGGUCUCAGUUCGGAUUGGGGUCUGCAACUCGACCUCAUGAAGUCGGAGUCGCUAGUAAUCGCAGAUCAGCAACGCUGCGGUGAAUACGUUCCCGGG
rnacentral:rRNA from 1 species